CUAAUCAUCACUGGUUGAGUGGUUACUGUCACUGCCUUCACUGUCACUGUCACUGUCACUUCCAUUGUUGUUACCGUUACCAGACUUGCUCUGGCUGUCACUCUCAUCAUUGCUGUCAGAUGUGCUGUCACUGCUAUCACUGCUGUCGCUGCUGUCACUGCUGUUGCUGCUGUCACUGCUAUCGCUGCUGUCACUGCUGUCGCUGCUUUCAUUGCUGUCACUGCUGUCGCUGCUGUCACUGCUGUCGCUGCUGUCACUGCUGUCGCUGCUGUCACUGCUGUCACUGCUAUCACUACUAUCGCUGCUGUCGCUGCUAUCGCUGCUGUCGCUGCUGUCACUGCUAUCACUGCUGUCGCUGCUAUCACUGCUAUUGCUGCUGUCACUGCUAUCGCUGCUGUCGCUGCUGUCGCUGCUAUCGCUGCUGUCACUGCUGUCGCUGCUGUCACUGCUGUCGCUGCUUUCACUGCUGUCACUGCUGUCACUGCUGUUGCUGCUGUCACUGCUAUCUGCUAUCACUGCUUUCACUGCUAUCACUGCUGUCGCUGCUGUCACUGCUGUCACUGCUAUCACUGCUGUCGCUGCUGUCACUGCUGUCACUGCUAUUGCUGCUGUCACUGCUGUCACUGCUAUCGCUGCUGUCACUGCUAUCGCUGCUGUCACUGCUAUCGCUGCUGUCACUGCUGUUGCUGCUGUCACUGCUAUUGCUGCUGUCACUACUAUUACUGCUAUCACUGCUGUCACUGCUGUCACUGCUAUCACUGCUGUUGCUGCUAUCACUGCUGUCACUGCUGUCACUGCUAUCACUGCUGUCACUGCUAUCGCUGCUGUUGCUGCUGUCACUGCUGUCGCUGCUAUUGCUAUCACUGCUGUCACUGCUGUUGCUGCUGUCACUGCUAUUGCUGCUGUCACUACUAUUACUGCUGUCACUGCUAUCACUGCUGUCACUGCUGUUGCUGCUGUCACUGCUAUUGCUGUUGUCACUACUAUUACUGCUUUCACUGCUAUCACUGCUGUUGCUGCUAUCACUGCUGUCACUGCUGUUGCUGCUAUCACUGCUGUCACUAUCACUGCUGUUGCUGCUAUCACUGCUGUCACUGCUAUUGCUGCUUUCGUUGCUGUCACUGCUAUCACUGCUGUCACUGCUGUUGCUGCUGUCACUGCUAUCGCUGCUGUCACUACUAUUACUACUGUCACUUCUAUUGCUGCUGUCGCUAUCACUGCCGUCACUGCUAUCGCUGCUGUCGCUGCUAUCACUGCUGUUGCUGCUAUCGCUGCUGUCACUACUAUUACUGCUGUCACUGCUAUUGCUGCUGUCGCUAUCACUGCUGUCACUGCUAUCACUGCUAUCACUGCUGUUGCUGCUAUCACUGCUGUUGCUGCUAUCACUGCUGUCACUGCUAUUGCUGCUGUCGUUGCUAUCACUGCUGUUGCUGCUGUCACUACUAUCACUGCUGUCACUGCUAUCACUGCUGUCACUGCUGUUGCUGCUGUCACUGCUAUCGCUACUGUCACUGCUGUUGCUGCUGUCACUGCUAUCACUGCUGUCACUGCUGUUGCUGCUGUCACUGCUAUCGCUGCUGUUGCUGCUGUCACUAUCGCUGCUGUUACUAUUACUGCUGUCACUACUAUCACUGCUGUCACUAUCACUGCUGUCACUACUAUCACUGCUCUCACUGCUAUUGCUGCUGUCACUACUGUCACUACUAUCACUGCUGUUGCUGCUGUCACUGCUACUGCUGCUGUCACUGCUAUCACUGCUGUCACUACUAUCACUGCUGUUACUGCUAUUGCUGCUGUCGCUGCUAUCACUGUUGUCACUACUGUCACUGCUGUUGCUGUCACUGCUGUCUGACUUACUGUCACUAUCACUGCUGUCGCUCUCUGAUUUGCUGCUGUCUGACUUGCUGUCACUGCUGUCACUACUAUCACUACUGUCACUGCUAUCACUGCUGUCACUACUGUCACUGCUAUUGCUGCUAUCACUACUAUCACUGUCACUGCUAUCACUGCUGUCACUGUCACUGCUGUCACUAUCACUGCUACUGUUGCUAUCACUGCUGUCACUGUCACUGCUGUCACUACUAUCACUGCUAUUGCUGCUAUCACUACUAUCACUGUCACUGCUAUCUGAUUUACCUUUGCCACUGUCUGAUUUGUCAUUGUCAUCAUUCCCAUUGUUACCAUUGCCAUUACUGUCACUAUUAUUAGUGUCUGAUGUGCUAUCACUGUCAUCAUCUUCUGCUCCUUUUGAGUCACUGCCAUUGCCAUUAUCUUUUGAUUCAUCAGAGUUAUAAGAAGCAUCUCCUCGGCUACUGCUGUUAUUGUCACUUUCUGAAUUAGCAUCAUCAUUGCCAUUAGAUUCAUCACUGCUAUUGGGAUCAU
rnacentral:lncRNA from 1 species